rnacentral:rRNA from 1 species
AAAAAUGGACUUACCGAGUUUACACUCCCAACCCAAUGUCUGAACGUUACCAAACUGUUGCCUCGGCGGGGUCACGCCCCGGGUGCGUCGCAGCCCCGGAACCAGGCGCCCGCCGGAGGAACCAACCAAACUCUUUCUGUAGUCCCCUCGCGGACGUAUUUCUUACAGCUCUGAGCAAAAAUUCAAAAUGAAUCAAAACUUUCAACAACGGAUCUCUUGGUUCUGGCAUCGAUGAAGAACGCAGCGAAAUGCGAUAAGUAAUGUGAAUUGCAAAAUUCAGUGAAUCAUCAAAUCUUUGAACGCACAUUGCGCCCGCCAGUAUUCUGGCGGGCAUGCCUGUCCAAGCGUCAUUUCACCCCUCAAACCCCUCCGGGGGAUCGGCGUUGGAAAUCGGCCCCCAUGAACGGCGUGCCCGCCACAAAGAAAUAGUGAAUUCCACUUAUUCGUGCGCGGGGCGUGGUUUUGUACUGCGGGGACCCGGGCGCGGGACCGUCCCAAUACACAAAUUUUUUAAUAUUGAAACCGCUGGCCGGGGGUCAAAAUCGGGAUACGACCUAACCUUAGGAUGGACAAGAGAGAAAAGGGA